AUUGAACGCUGGCGGCAGGCCUAACACAUGCAAGUCGAGCGAGCGGCGGACGGGUGAGUAAUGUCUGGGAAACUGCCUGAUGGAGGGGGAUGACUACUGGAAACGGUAGCUAAUACAGCAUGCCAUCAGAUGGGCCCAGGUGGGAUUAGCUGGUAGGUGGGGUAACGGCUCACCUAGGCGACGAUCCCUAGCUGGUCUGAGAGGAUGACCAGCCACACUGGAACUGAGACACGGGCCAGACUCCUACGGGAGGCAGCAGUGGGGAAUAUUGCACAAUGGGCGCAAGCCUGAUGCAGCCAUGCCGCGUGUGUGAAGAAGGCCUUCGGGUUGUAAAGCACUUUCAGCGGGGAGGCGUUACCCGCAGAAGAAGCACCGGCUAACUCCGUGCCAGCAGCCGCGGUAAUUC
rnacentral:rRNA from 1 species